CAUGAAAACGAAGACGACGACGACGAAGACCACGAAGAAGAAGAAGAAGAAGAAGAGACCGAGAGCUGAGAGCGACGAGGACUGAGAGGAGCAUGCCGAUGUUCAGACCUGAAGCUGCAGAGAAGCUAUUUGAUUAGAUGCAAGCGCUGGCCUACUUCUGGACAUUUUCACCUAUAUUCUGCUGAACGGCUUUUGCAAAAAUCAGAAGAUUGAUAAACUGUAUGGUGCACGGUUACAACCUUUGCACAUUAAGUAUUCUUGUAGAAGGCUUAUGUAAAGAAGGGAAGGUAGCCAAAGCCCAAGAGUUGUUUAAAGACAUGUAAUGGAAUGGAUGCUCUCAUGAUGCUGCCACUUACAACGCUUCAGUUUGAGGAUAUCUGUUACUUAAGGGCAGUGAAACUUCUUGGUCUAGAAGGGUUUCUCUACUGAUGCAUUGACAAUGGAGUCGCUGUUUAAUUUGUCAUCUGCCGAUGAAGUUGAUCCUGAUCUCUUACAGCUAAUACUGAAGUCUUUGUGAACUUUGCUGGUCUCAAGUCUGUGAGCCUGCUGUAGAAUAGAUCCACACACUUGAUGUUAAGUCCAAGCGACCCUGGUCAAAUUUUUGUAUACGUGGGGUUGUGCCCGUUUGGUCCAAUAACAUUUGGAGAGACGCUCCAGUUACAUAUGAUAUGAUAGUCUUGUUAUAUCUGCAAACAGCAGCGGAUGGUCUAAGGAGGAGAGGACAUCGCGUAAAAUGCACAGUAUCAUGUUAUCAGACUGGCAGAGAAUCAUAAUGAUUUGGGGAUGGAUGUUUUGGGAGGACUCACCAAACGGUGUGGAUUGCUUUGGCAGCACUUUAGAGCAGUAUAGUCUAUCUAAGUUUUAAAAAUUAACUGAGCAAGUUGUGAGAAAGAUUUGUUCACUUAGUGGAGUUGGGAGAUCAGUGUCAGGAUAAGACUGAACUCUAAAUUGUGAAGAGUGUUACUGGAUAAGAAUUUCACUAUCUUUGCCAUGUCUGGCGUGGCAGCGAGACUUUUUCGACUGUAAUAAGGUACAAAAUACCACCUUCUUUUAUUUGAAA